rnacentral:vault_RNA from 1 species
GCACUGGUUUAGCUCAGUGGUUACUUCCCUCCUCAUAUCUUCCUGAAAGAUUACGCGGUCUCCAUCCCUCCCCGGGAUCAAACCACGGGCGCUGUCCAGUGUUUUC